CAGAGGUGCCGAGCGUUAGGCGGAAUCACUGGGCUUAAAGUGUGUGUAGGUGGAUGCCUAAGUACCUUGUGAAAUCCCACGGCUUAACCGUGGAACUGCUCGGUAUACUGGGUGUCUUGAGCCAGCUAGGGGCUACCGGAACAAAUGGUGGAGCGGUGAAAUGCGUAGAUAUCAUUUGGAACGCCAAUGGUGAAAACAGGUAGCUGGGGCUGUGCUGACACUGAGACACGAAAGCCAGGGGAGCGAACGGGAUUAGAUACCCCGGUAGUCCUGGCCGUAAACGAUGUCGACUAGAUCGUAGUGGCUCUGACGCUAUUACGGUCGAAGCAAAAGUGCUAAGUCGACCGCCUGGGAAGUACGGUCGCAAGGCUA
rnacentral:rRNA from 1 species